GUGAAUCAUCGAAUCUUUGAACGCACAUUGCGCCCUCUGGUAUUCCGGAGGGCACGCCUGUUCGAGCGCCAUCACACCCUCCAAGCUCUGCUUGAUGUUGGAUGCUGCGUCAGCUUAACCUCUGACGCACGUCUGUAACGUGUGGGCGUCCGUCCUGUCGAGACACCUCGAGCGUAGCAAGACUUUCAGUCAUUUUCGCUUUUGUAGGGACUCCAGCGGACUGCCUCUCUGGUUAGUGGGUUUACCCACUACCAAAUUACUGAGUUUGGCCUCGGAUCAGGCGGGGAUACCCGCUGAACUUAAGCAUAUCAAUAAGCGGAGGA
rnacentral:misc_RNA from 1 species